rnacentral:rRNA from 1 species
AUUCGACCUCAAAUCAGGUAGGACUACCCGCUGAACUUAAGCAUAUCAAUAAGCGGAGGAAAAGAAACCAACAGGGAUU